AUUGAACGCUAGCGGGAUGCCUUACACAUGCAAGUCGAACGAGUGGCGAACGGGUGAGUAAUGUAUCGGAACGUGCCCAGUAGCGGGGGAUAACUACGCGAAACGUAGCUAAUACCGCAUACUAUUGGAGCGGCCGAUAUCGGAUUAGCUAGUUGGUGGGGUAACGGCUGACCAAGGCGACGGUCCGUAUCUGGUUUGAGAGGACGACCAGCCGCGCUGGGAUCGCGACAAGGCCCAGACUCCAACGGGAGGCAGCAGUGGGGAAUUUUGGAAAAUGGGGGAAACCCUGAUCCAGCCAUCCCGCUUGUUCGAGGAAGGCCUUCGGGUUGUAAAGCACUUUUGGCAGGAAAGCGGUACCUGCAGAAUAAGCACCGGCUAACUACGUGCCAGCCGCCGCGGUAAUUC
rnacentral:rRNA from 1 species